rnacentral:tRNA from 1 species
GGAGUUGUGGCUCAGUGGUAGAGAGCACGCUUGCCUGGCAUGCAUGAGACCCUGGGUUGGAUCCACAGCACUGCA